CUGGGCAAUCUGAUUCUAUCGGACCCUCUGCCCUCUAUCGACAUACUCCUCGCUGCUCUAUUGAUCGUAAAGGGCCUUCCAUAUGUCCACCCGCAUCCAGUGAUCCUUGUAGGACUUCCAGUCUAAAGGCGACUAAGAACUGGAAUGCUUGAUGGCAGACUGUCGUAGGCUAUGUAAUCCAUCUCAAAAUCUACGUAUGGCCACUUACUCAAAGAUCGGAUGGC
rnacentral:lncRNA from 1 species